rnacentral:rRNA from 1 species
AUUACCAGUGACCCCCGGCUUCGGCCGGGGAUGAUCAUAACCCUUUGCUGUCCGACUCUGUUGCCUCCGGGGCGACCCUGCCUCCGGGCGGGGGCCCCGGGUGGACACAUUCAAACUCUUGCGUAACUUUGCAGUCUGAGUAAAUUUAAUUAAUGAAUUAAAACUUUCAACAACGGAUCUCUUGGUUCUGGCAUCGAUGAAGAACGCAGCGAAAUGCGAUAAGUAAUGUGAAUUGCAGAAUUCAGUGAAUCAUCGAAUCUUUGAACGCACAUUGCGCCCCCUGGUAUUCCGGGGGGCAUGCCUGUUCGAGCGUCAUUUCACCACUCAAGCCUCGCUUGGUAUUGGGCGACGCGGUCCGCCGCGCGCCUCAAAUCGACCGGCUGGGUCUUCUGUCCCCUCAGCGUUGUGGAAACUAUUCGCUAAAGGGUGCCACGGGAGGUCACGCCGUAAAACAAGCCCAUUUCUAAGGUUGACCUCGGAUCAGGUAGGGAUACCCGCUGAACUUAAGCAUAUCAAUAAGCGGAGGAAAAGAAACCAACAGGGAUUGCUCUAGUAACGGCGAGUGAAGCAGCAAUAGCUCAAAUUUGAAAUCUGGCGUCUUCGGCGUCCGAGUU